rnacentral:rRNA from 1 species
UACGGGGGGGGGCAAGCGUUGUUCGGAAUUACUGGGCGUAAAGGGCUCGUAGGUGGCCAACUAAGUCAGACGUGAAAUCCCUCGGCUUAACCGGGGAACUGCGUCUGAUACUGGAUGGCUAGAGAUUGGGAGAGGGAUGCGGAAUUCCAGGUGUAGCGGUGAAAUGCGUAGAUAUCUGGAGGAACACCGGUGGCGAAGGCGGCAUCCUGGACCAACACUGACGCUGAGGAGCGAAAGCCAGGGAGCAAACGGG